UAUGUACUCAUGCCCUUUUUGGACUGGUGAUUUCUUCAUUUACUACAAUAUGUAAAGACUGUACCACUUGCUGCCAAGACGCUUGAUGUGAGACGCAGUCAGAAGCGUCUCCACCUCUUUCUGAUGAUGAUUUAUGGUGGGAGUUGCGGGGUAUAGCCCUCGCUAUUGUUGUUUUCGGGUGCGAGAAGAGUGGGAGAUUAGAGAACCGGAAAGCAUUUGCCAACAUAUGGUCUGAUAUGGUGUUUGGGAUCUCGCUCUUUUGUUAUUUUGUAUGCCAAACAGAGUAAAGUAGCCUUGUUAAAAGUUUACAGGAUAUCAGACACGGGGAAAGCAUUUCUCAUCAUCCUUGUCACCGACAUUUUCUUGGGGUACCAAUUCUGAAUCUGGAGUGGGAGACAUUGUUAGAAUUAAUAAUGGAACAUUAUGGUCUUGCAGUUGAGCAAUCUACUAUAACAGAUUUACACCAUUUUAAACCAAGUCAAGUACAUAUAAGAUUUACGUAUAGAUGCUGCAUAGAUCAUCCAUGAUAUGCAUAAGCUAAUGAUAAAACAUACUACUAUACUAGGUAGCAUUUUGUUACUAAGCAUAGCAUAUUCACCAUUACUUUACUAGACUUCUUAAGAGAUGAUACUGUAGCUUCCUUCCUCAAUUUAGCAUGGCGGAUUUCAAGGGCCAGUUACAAGUUAAAACCUAUAAUAAGCAUCAUCUUGUAUGAUUUAAUUGUAUCAUUAGUAUACACCAUUUGCUAUGAUAAUAGUCAAAAUCU